rnacentral:lncRNA from 1 species
GGUGUCCGCACCGGGCCCUCCUCAGGCUGCGGGGGUGUGGGGAAGGUGUGUGCGAGUGGACGUCACUGGUGCGUGGGGGGGGGUCCCGGGUUAUGGAGAGUCUGGGGCCUUCCCGGGGGCGCGGAGCGGGCUCUCUGGCCGAGGGGUGCAGCAGAUGCUGUUGCUUUGGGCACAGCCCCUGCCCACAGCCGACUGCCCACCACAAGGCCGCGGCUCUGUCCCCGAGGGUCCAGGACGCCGGGAGGCAGUGCUCUGGGACCAGCUCUCAGCAGCCAGGCCCGAGUCAGACCUGGAGGCCGCAUCCUCGCCCUCGGGCCCUGCCGAGCUGGGCUCUGCCUGUCCCGAGGGCCCCGAGGGUGUGGGCCCAGCCACCUGCAGGUACCCCGUGCGGCCCAACUGGUUCCCUGUCUUGCCCGUCUCACCUGCCCGCUCCCCGCCUGUGCUUCCCUCCUCCUCCCUGGAUGGGCCCCGUCCCGUGCCAGCCUCUGCUCCCAGGGAGCCCGACUAAGACGGGGCCUCGGGAGCCCCCUUGUCCCGCAGCCGUUUACCUAUGGUGGUGAUGACCGUGCCUGCAAAGAAGAAGCUGCUGCUGAAGUCCCAGUUGCUGGGGUUGGUGGAGUUGCCUUUGGGGUUCACGCCUUUCACCCAGGCUUCCAAGAUGACCUGUGGGUAGCAGUGACCUGCAGCCCUGGCGGACUCUCCACCUCCCAUGCCUCAGUUCCCACCUGCAGGCUGAGGAAGGUGACGGGAACAGGUGACAGCACCUGGUGCAGGUUCUGAUGCUCCGAGCCCUGCUCCUCACUGCUUGGGCACAUUGUCCCCAGCCCUCGGGGUCCCAGCUCUGCGCCUGCCUGGAGCUCCUGGUCUCCAAGUCCCCACACCCCAUCCCUGCCACCCACCUGCUCCCCUCACCUGCACAAACCGCUCCAGGGCCCGCCGGUCCAGGCACGUGUAGUUCUCCAGGAAGCGCAGCUUCUCCAUCUGAAACUGGUCCCUGGAUUCGGCCUCCGCUGGCUUCUCCAGCAGCUGGAAGAUGGUGGCCCCAAGCAGCAGGUAGCAGACGUAGGCCAACAGCAGGGGCAGUAUUCGGCCGUCCCGGCAGCUGCAGAGCCUGGCACAGGGCAUGGCACAGCGGGGAGAGGGCUGGGCCUCAGGCUGGCUGUGGGGAGAGGCGGGAGCAGGUGCCCCGUGCAUCCAGGGGUGCGCCCAGGCCCUGCCCCAGUCUGUUUGAACAGCGAGGCUCAGCCUGGCUGUGCUAAGUGCCUGAGUGCAAACAGGACGCACCCUUGCCCGGCUUCUCUUCCACGGGCAGCAGCACGGCAGGGGCCCCUCAAAGGGACCUCCCGGGGCUCCCGAGCCCGUUGUCCUCCCCCUCUGGCCUGGCAUCAGGUGUUUCUGGGCUGAAUCUGCUGGCACCCACUCUGCCCAGGCGUCUACUCCUGGGAAAGCCUCCCGCCCCGUGCAGGUGUGAAUGGACUGCUACUCUGUUGCCUUGGCUACAGAAUGGGCCAGGAGGACCCACCUGCCGACUGGGGACUGGGACCCGAGGAAGAGCGCUGGGUGACAAAUCAGGGUACAGCGAUCAGGCCAGUGACCGCCACGCUGCGGAGCAGCAGCACCAAUCUGCUGGUAAAUUGGACACUGAGGCCUCCUUGCUUCUGCAGGUCGUUUGUGUCGCUUGAACCCCUCCAGCAGGUCCCUCCGGAGGAUAAUGUGCUGGGUGGGGACAGAUGUGAAUAAAAGAGACCCAAAAGCAUGGCUGACCCAGGGUGCUGCCAGGGCUCAGAGGGGUGAACUGAUGCUGCUUCUGCCUCUCCCUCCUCCGCUCCUGCGUGUGUGAGAGGUAUACAGAGAGAAUUCACCAACUGCCAUCCACACACCUGAAGUGUACAAUUCAGGUCUGGAGCAUAGUUGCAGAGUUGUGCAGCCAUCGCCACCGUCAGUGCUCAUCAUCUCUACGACAAGCUCCCCCUGCUGGCUGCUACCCUGUGGCCUAACCCAGACCCCCACAGCCUGGGGCAGCCGCUAAUCUGCCUUCUAACUCCAUGGAUUUCCCCACCUUGGACAUUUCCUGUAAGAGGUAGCACGCAGCAUGUGGCCCUUGGUGCCUGGCUUCUUUCACUUGCAUGUUUUCAGGGUCCAUCCACAUGUACCUGCAUGAGCACUCCAUUCCUCUUCAUAGCAGAGUAAUAUUUCAAAGGAUGAUGUGCCCCACCUGCUGUACCCGUGUGAUAGCCACUUGGCAGAUUGUGUGGUUUCCACUUUCUGUUGUCAUGAAUAAUGCUGCUCUGACGUCUGUGGGGAGGUUCUUGCGUGGACACCUGUUUCCCCUUCCUACCUGGGCCCUCCGGUCCCUCUGCGUGGAGCUGUUGGGGACCUGCCAUGUCCCCAAGUGGCUGUGCGGCUUCGCACUCCCGUGGGUGCCAAAUGCGAAGGCUGUGCUUCUCGGCCGAGUCUUCUGUUUCCUUUA